UUGGGGCACCCUGUAGUUUAUCGACGACUCUAAUUUUCGCGGCUUGUCGAUAAUGAAAGGUCGAUCCGGGGUUUAAAAAUAGCGCCGUCCCGUUCGGCCGCCUCUAUCCUGAACUUUUCCGAUCCGACGACGGUCCGCUUUCACUAAAAGCGCGAUCUCCGCGCGCGAGCUACGGUCACGCGCGAUUUACUCUCUCGUUCGAUUUUUCUCGGCUCCGCGGGAACGAUGCCGAUCGUACCUUGGCCUUCGAGUCGAUCGGUGCUCGGAACUGGCUCGCGGCUAUUUUUUGGCAUAAUAUUACCGGGGAUCCUCGUUACCUCGAGAUCAUAGUGAAGUUAAUUUCCGACAACGAACUCACCUCUGUCGCAGCAACGGAUCGACGCCGACCGUCGGCUCGUCCAGGAUCAAGAGUUCUGGAUCGUGCAUCAGGGCCACGGCGAAGGACACUCUUCGUUGCUGGCCACCGCUGCGGGAACAUCGAUCGAUUAGUCGCGUGCAGAUUUCAUUGGAGCCACUUUCCUUACGACAAGCUCCAAUUUUUUCAAAUUGUACGUUUUAAACGAUGCGAGGAAACGAGGACGUUGAUCCUGGAGGAUUUGGAUCAGCGUUUUUAGGAUCGUGCGCGACGAGACGAAGAGAUAUCUCCCAAAGUACUUCGUUUCGAUGCGAACAGGAUGGGAGCGGGAACGUAGGAAAGCGAACAGAGGAAGUUCCACGAACCUGAGGUUCUUGACCAGUCGAUUCUGCGAGGGAAGGUCGAGAAACUGCAGCAGAAAUCGCAGCCUGUCGACGAUCUCGGCGGUGCACAUGCCGAAUAUCCAGCCGAAAUACAUCAUGGUCUCGCGGAUCGUGAACUCCCCGUACAGGGCUAUCUCCUGCGGCAUGUAGCCGACCCUCUUUCCAGGGACCCCGGACCCCUUUGUUCCCGGCUUGCCACCAAGGACCCAGAUCUCGCCGGAGUUCAAUCGCCUUCGGCCGACGAUGCACGAGAGAAGAGUGGUUUUGCCGCAUCCGCUGGCGCCGAGCAGUCCAUAACUGACGAAAACAAAAAAUAUCAUCAAGAUUGGGCCGGAGGAAAUUUGGCUUGGGCUCCAAAAACACGCGUACUUUCGCCAAGACGAAUUUAUCCUUACGUUAUUCUCACCAGUUUUGGGAGAAUUGUUCAGCUUUCAAGGAAUUCGGAAUAAUUAUACAAUUACGAAAGUGAAGAAACUUCGCGGGUCCUUGACAUUUCAGGAUAAAAUUUGAUGUUUUAAUUGACAUAUUUCUUAGUCAAUUAAGGGUACAUAUCACAACGAAGCAUGCUAGGCAUCGUUUAUGUUGCAAUGUUGUUUUGUUCGGUGCAUACGACGAAUAACAAAAGUGAAAAAAUUAAAAGGAAAAGUAAGAAAACGCAGGAAAACAUUUUAUUGCAACAUAUUGAACGAACCGAAUGUUACCAGGAUUUUUGCAAUACGAAAGAGUCGAACUAAUAUUUCCUACAGCAAUAUUGAAACUUCUUAGAUUCGGUUGCAUUAAUUAAAUGACUUCGAUGUUGCGAGAGUAUUUUAAUGGGAAUAAAAAUCGUGCGUUCAUCGAGGAUGCAGAUAGCAGAAUAUCGAGAUCGACGAUCGCGAAAUAUCUCAUGAUGAAAAUAGUCAUGAUGAAAACACCGAUGCGACUAUGCGGAUCGUUUCAAGGACCGAUUAAUGCACCGCAUUAAAGUUAUUCCAGGAACACCGAGUGACAUAGAACUGCACAUUAAAAUGCAUCUUAAACUA